UGGGAAACCAGAACAUAGUGAUCCGACCAUACGCAUUAGACGCGGUGGAAGCUCAACGGAUAAAAGCUACUCUAGGGAUAACAGGCUAGUUCCGCCUAAGAGUUCAUAUCGCCGGCGGAGUUCGGCACCUCGAUGUCGGCUCACCUUAGCGCGGUGGUGGAGAAGCUACCAAGCGUUUGGCUGUUCGCCAAUUAAAAAGGUACGCGAGCUGGGUUCAGACCGUUUAGGAAUUGGGUUUUAGGUUCUAGUGACUAGGUUCUAGCUGAAUGCAAAUUCUCCUAGCCACCUAUAAUUAAAACUUACUGCCUGAUUCUUGAACAGUCUGAAUCCCGCGAGGAAAUAUUCUGUUAUACAACCAAGUGCAUUAAAUUGCACAUCACGGCGGCGCUUUGCAGAAAUGCAAGGUGGCAAGCUAACUUAUAUCGGUGGAAUCCUAUUCAUUAAAAUGAAGGACAACGCCGAGGGAAGUUUACAACACCCGUAGAGACUGAAUGUUAGCCAGCUCAUUUUUGAGUUGAUGUCACAGUCCGAUCCUUCCAGUAAUGGAAGUUAACAUAGAUGCGUGAGACAGGUUGGUCUCCUAUCUACUGCACUCGUUGAUUCUUGAGAAGAUUUGCCGAUAGUACGAGAGGACCUCGGUGAACUGACCUCUGGUGUAUCUGCUGUCGCGCCCGCGGCACCGCAGAGUAGCUAUGUCGGGAAUGGAUAACCUCUGAAAGCAUCUAAGAGGGAAGCCAGCUUCAAGAUUAGGAAUCGUUAAGAACCCUAGGAGAUGACUAGGUUGAUAGGCUUUAGGUGUAAGCGCAGUAAUGCGUUGAGCCGAGAAGUACUAAUGUUUCGAUUCCUGUUAAGAA
rfam:Candidatus Nomurabacteria bacterium RIFCSPLOWO2_12_FTLL_46_14 rifcsplowo2_12_scaffold_25250, whole genome shotgun sequence.